rnacentral:rRNA from 1 species
GGAAUAUUGGUCAAUGGACGGAAGUCUGAACCAGCCAUGCCGCGUGGAGGAAGAAGGUCCUAUGGGUUGUAAACUCCUUUUGUCCGAGAGUAAUAAGGUCUUUGCGAAGACCGAUGAGAGUAUCGGGCGAAUAAGCAUCGGCUAACUCCGUGCCAGCAGCCGCGGUAAUACGGAGGAUGCAAGCGUUAUCCGGAUUUAUUGGGUUUAAAGGGUGCGCAGGCGGGCUGUUAAGUCAGCGGUGAAAUCUCCCGGCUCAACCGGGGAACUGCCGUUGAUACUGGCAGCCUAGAGUACAGACGGCGCCGGCGGAAUGUGUCAUGUAGCGGUGAAAUGCUUAGAUAUGCCACAGAACACCGAUCGCGAAGGCAGCUGGCGAGGCUGGGACUGACGCUCAGGCACGAAAGCGUGGGGAUCAAACA